UUUUUUUUUUUUUGGUUGGGAGCAGGGGAGAAGAUGUAGAAAGAGAUGAGAUAACUUUAGGGAAACAAGUCAAAAGAAUGAUCAAAAUGUCAAGGUUGUACCUGCAGGCACAAGCAGAAAGGAACCAUCAGGGGACCAAGAUAAUCUUCUGAAGAAAGAUGGUAGUGUCUCAUCAAGAAAGAGAUGAUUUUUAGUAGACUGCACACAUUUGCAUGAGCAAAAGUUAUUAUGUAUGUAACAUUAACUUAUACUGAAUAAGGAACUGAUAUGAUAUAUGACCUUGGACUCAUCCGGCUGUUGUGGUUCAACCUUCAUAAUGACAUGUUGACACACAAAAUUCAACUUCUCAACUCCUUUUGUUUUAGAUGGUCUGUUGAUGUAAAUCCGGCAAGAUCUAUCUGAACUGAGUGAGGCAGCAUACUUGGACAAUGGAUCCCACGUCACACCUUGCACGUAGUGCAAAUGAGCAUCCAAUAUCUGAUGAACUGAACCUGAUGAGGAAAUGGCAGACUGUCAGUAUAAAGUUUAUUUAUCUCUACUUAAAAAUCCUUCAGUUAGAUCCUCAUUUAUUUCUUACCUUUGUUGACAUCCCAUAUGAUGCAUGAAUUAUCAACAGAACCAGAAAUUAGAAAAGAACCAUCAGUAGACCACUCCAAGUCCAAUACAUCCUUACGAUGAAAUCUGAGAAAGAUCAAGUCUUGAGUACUUGUAUCGAAUAAGAAAUAAUUUCAUUAAAACAAUGAUUAUGCUCCUUUUGUUACAGCAACUCAAAGGCAAUAGGUGAAAUAUCUUAUCCAUGACUAUCGCAGUUGACAGUUUAAGCACUUCCUCGAAGAAAAACUAAGCUGGAAAGUUAUGACCAACAUUCGGGAAGUCUGUUUAAUAUGGACUAUCAGAAUAUUAUGGAUUAUUUAUAUUGGGAUUACUUAUUAUUUAGGGUAGACGUUAGCAAAAUAAAUUAAUAUAUAUAUAUAUAUAUACAAUAACAUUCUUGUUAAAGUUUGAUUAGCACAUAAAUCCGAUUCUUUUCCUGUAAAAUCAGUGAUUAUAUAGUGCAUAUGCUGGUUGAUUGCAACAUUCUGCAUAAACCAAAAAGGUAGCCCGGUGCACAAAUAAUCUUGCAGUCACGCAGGGUCCGGGGAAGGGCCGCACCCAAGGGAUGUGAUGUAGACAGCCUACCCUAAUGCAAGUAUUAGUGGCUAAUUCCACGGCUUGAACCCGUGACCUAUAGGUCACGCAGAAAUAACUUUACCGUUACUCCAAGGGUCAAUUCAUUUGGAUAAUAUUUUGGUUUAAGCAGAAUAAAGGGGAGCCUACAUUUGAGAUGAAUUUAACCCUUCACCCGCCAUUCACAAAUGGUUCACCUCUAGAGUCUAGAUGGAAAGUAACGGCUGGACUCACAAUUACACCCAUGGACCAUAAUCUCUCUCUUUGAGUUCCCCUCAAGACAAGAGGCAAUGAGAAUCCUAGCAGGUGAUUGGUUUUGGAAUGAUCGCCAUUUAACUUUAGAAUGGUGGUCACCGGCAACUGGUUCAACCUUAACGAACCAUAAUCUCUCUCUUUGAGUUCCCCUCAAGACAGGAGGCAAUGAGAAUCCUAGCAGGUGAUUGGUUUUGGAAUGAUCGCCAUUUAACUUUAGAAUGGUGGUCACCGGCAACUGGUUCAACCUUAACGAACGAUCAGCCACACUGGGUUAAAGCCUUUGGUAUUCCUCUUCAUGCAUGGUGCUCGAGUACUUUCUGCACCAUAGGAGAACUCUAUGGUGGGUUUGUCGAUACAGACCUGGACACCAAGUAUAGAACGCACCUUCUCUGGGCUAGAAUUUGUGUGAAGGAUCCUAUAGGCCAACAACCUGAGAAAGUAAAUAUUGAGGUUGGUGACUGGAAUUAUGAAAUCACUAUUCUGCCAGAUAAGUCGGUAAAGCUCAGUCCAAUCGGGAAAAGUGAUGCCGGCGAAAGCUCCUUGGGCUUAUCGGAGAAGAAGGUAUUGUCGACGAAUGGGGUUGGUACAUCGAGCCAACAAAAAAUGACUCCUACUGCUUCAGGGAGUAGGCAUGUGGGAGAGCAGGUGACUUCUUUUAAUCCAUCGGUUAAAGCCAACUUAAGUUUUAAUCAACUGAGCCAGAAUGUGGAUCAAAGCUACUAUAUGGUCGACCUAAAGCAUAAAGCCCAAGAGCAAAAUACCAAGUCUUAUUGGAAAAGGGUGGACCUAAUUAACACUACCCAUUGCUCCAAUCAAUUCAGUGUAUUAUCAAAGGAGCCCAUAUCCAAAGCGGCAGCUGGCGAUAUAAACUCUAAUAGAAAUAUUAGAGUCCCUCCACCAGCUAACUCUCGUCUCUCUACUAUCUCUGAUGCGGAUGACGAAGCCGACCCAGAGGCAGUGUUUGAGAAAACUACUAAGUGUGGUUCCAACACCAGAGAGGUCUCUCACUAGUCAAUCCGACUCUGACUUCUCUUCUCCUUCUGAUUUUCUAUCUCUCCCAUGGCAUGAGGAAGGGCCGAUUCCUCAAUUUAUAUAAAACCCAGUUGUGGCCGAGACAUCACGAUGGACCAAAAUGGUGAUGGUGAAGGCUAGCAAAGUCUUCGGAGUCAACAUGGCUAGAUUCGAACAUGAGUUUUUGGACAUUAUUCCGGAGGAAAAACGGCAAUUGCAAAUACAACAGAAAAAAUUAUUAAAGAAACCAACAAAGAAGAAAAAGUCAAAGGAGACAGAACUAGAGAAGCUAAAACUUUUGGUGAAUUAUGAGGGUGGAGAAAGUUCAGAAAGAGGGAGCACUAGUAUUGAAAGGGGCAGGAUUCACAAACUCCAUUCAAAAUGAAAUUACGAAUUCUGAGUUAGAAUGUACGGGAGCUCAAUGAAAGGGAAAAUAGGGGAACUUUGAAGUCUUUAAUUCAAAGUUGGAGAGCUGAUAUUGUAUGUAUUCAGGAGACCAAUGAAUGGCCAGAUUGUCUUUCAUAACAUUUGAUGGGGUCUAGAUGGGCAGAGAUGCAAGCCAUUGACAACAAGGGUGGGGUGGUAAAUUUAUGGGGUAAAAGGAAUUGGAAUUGCAUAGACAUUCAUCAGGGAUCCUAUACAACUUCUAAUAUGUUAGAAAGUGCCCAUGAAAACUUCAGGUAGUGUUUUACAGGGAUCUAUGGCCCACACACAAACCCUGAAAGAAGGUAUUUUGGGAUGAACUUGCAGCAAUCCGAGGGUUAUGGAAUAAUCAUUGGGCGAUUGGGGGUGAUUUUAAUGUAUGCAGAUACGAGCAUGAAAGGCUCAAUUGCAAUAAACGAUCAAAGGCAAUGAAAAACUUCUUUGAUACAAUUAAAGAUCUUUGCCUUAUUGAUUUGCCUCUUCAUGGUGCUACUUAUACUUGGACCAAGGGUGAGAACAUACAUCAGGCUUCUAGAAUUGACAGGUUCCUCAUAGCUAAUGACUUGAGUGACACCUUCAAGAAGGUAACUCAGAUGGUGCUCCCUAAUGUUAUUUCAGAUCAUAAGCCUAUAAUCCUGGAAAGUGGAGACUGGAAGGUUAACCCCUCAUACUUUAAAUUUGAGAACAUGUGGUUACAAACCGAGAUAUUGCAAUGCAUCAUUCAUCGCUCUAAUUCCAAAGAAGAAAGGGGCUAUGGAACUCGGAGAUUUUAGACCAAUAAGUCAAAUAGGAAGUGUGUAUAAAAUAGUUGCAAAGCUGUUUGCUGAAAGAUUGAAAAAAGUCAUUUGGAAACUUAUUUCUGGGAAGAAAAAUGCUUUCAUUAAAGGAAGGCAGAUUACAGAUGCAUCUCUAGUUGCUAAUGAGAUUUUGGAUUGGAAACUUAAAUCAGGGGAAGCAGUUCUCUUAUGCAAACUGGAUAUAGAGAAAGCUUUUGACCAGCUAAACUGGAAUUUUCUCUUUAUGAUGCUGAGGAAAAUGGGUUCUGGAAACAAAUGGAUUAAAAGGAUAAGUUAUGCACUACCAUAAUUCAAGCUCAACCGGCUUCUUCUCUCCUCAAAAGGGUCUUAGGCAGGGGAUCCUCUCUCACCUUUUCUCUUCAUCAUUGGCAUGAAAGGUCUCAGUAACAUGCUAAAUAAAGCCAAGAAUUUACAAUGAUUCAAAGGCUUUGAAGUUGGUAGCAGGUCCGGGAAUAGAGUGAUUGUCUCACAUCUGCUAUAUGCAGAUGACACCCUAAUUUUCUGUGGGGCUGAAGAAUCUCAAGUGCUGCAUUUAAAUCUGGCCUUGCUUAUUUUUGAAGCUCUUUCAGGUUUACACAUUAAUAUGAUAAGAGUGUCUUUUGUCAUGUCAAUGAUGUUUUUAAUCUGGAGGGCCUGGCUUACAUUCUAUGUUGUAGUACUGGCACACUACCAACUACAUAUCUGGAGCUUCCACUAGGAGCAAAGUUCAAGUCAUCUAAUAUAUGGAGUGGAGUCACUGAAAAAAUUGAAAGAAGACCAGCUAACUGGCAAAUGCAAUACCUUUCCAUGGGAGGGAGACACACACUCAUCAACAUCUUGGAUAACCUUCCCACCUAUCUUAUGUCUCUAUUUCCCAUCCUAAGAAAGGUGCUGAAGCACAUAGACAAAUACAGGAGGAAUUUUCUAUGGGAAGGAUAAGGAAGCAGCAAACUCAUAAAUUCCACUAGGUUAAUUGGAAAAAAGUAACACUACCAAAGUGACAAGGUGGCCUAGGAAUUAGAGAUCUCACAGUCCAUAAAAAGAGCAUGCUUAUGAAAUGGCUGUGGAGAUAUUCACAAGAGGAUCAAGCCCUUUGGAAGGAGGUGGUAACUGCAAAACAUGGCAAUAAAAAUCACUGGAGUACCAAGGUUGGUAGAUCACCAUAUGGAGUAGGACCUUGGAAGUAUAUCAACAAGCUAGGGGAAGAGUUUUAUCACCAAUGCAAAUUUAAGGUAGGCAAUGGAGCAAAAAUAAGGUUCUGGGAAGAUAAAUGGCUGGGGGACUCAACAUUGCAAGCUGAUUUUCUGAACCUUUAUUCAAUAUCCACAAGAAAACAGUCAACUAUUUCACAAAACAGAGUUGAUUAUUCCUGGAACCCUUUAUUCAGGAGGAACAUACAAGAUUGGGAGCUGCAAGAUCUUCUCAACCUACUGGAAAGACUAGGGACAGUCUUAAUUAAUGAUCAGGCAUCAGACAGACUCAUUUGGGGGAAUAAAGCCGAUGGUAAGUACUCUGUGAAGGCAGGCUACUACACGCAAUUUACUCAAAAUGAAAUGUUAAUCAAUUGGCCAUGGAAAUUAAUUUGGAAAACUAAGCUACCUCCAAAGGUGAUUUGCUUUAGUUGGAUAGCCCUCUAUGAAGCCUUGCUCACUCAAGUCAAUCUUAGCAGAAGAAGCAUCCCCACAGUCAACAGAUGCUACAUGUGUCAACAUGCCUUAGAGACCAAUAGACAUCUUUUUUUACAUUGUACAGCUGUUGCAGAUGUAUGGAACAUGCUCAUCUCAGCUUUUGGUCUUGACUGGGUUAUUCCUGAGAGUGUUAAAGAUGUCCUGGUUAGCUGGAGCUCAUGGAAGGUUGGGAAAUCCAUCAGGAAAGUUUGGAAGAUGAUCCCUGCACCCUGCUUGUAUUUUCUGGUGUGUCUGGACAGAAAGAAACACCAGAUGCUUUGAAGGAAUUACUACUCCAAAUUACGUUCUUAAGGCUAGAUGUUUAACAAGUUUUUGUAGUUGGAGUAAUCUCUCCCCUGUCAAUUCCCCUGAAUCUUUUUUGGACUUUGUUAGCUCCUUAACUUUAGAUUAGACCUUUUGUAAUAGAGCUAACAUUGUCUUCUAUUUUUCUCUAUUCCUUUGCUCUGUAAAUUCUGAAUUCUGCAUCUUCUUGAUGCCUUCUAUGAAAUACAUUAACUGAUCAAAAAAAAAGAAAAAACAUUACUUGUUAUCUCACACUGCAACUGUUUCAUGUGGUUAAAAUAUCCUAUAAUCCCAAAAGCAAAACCCUCGUCUACCUACCUGCAUCCACUAAACAAAGUCAGGCUACUCAAAUGCCAAAUAGAACUAUUACUUUCUUCGAACAUCAGGCUAAAAAUUUAUUUGACAAGCAUAAAAGAUAAGGAUCAGAAUACGAAAAUGCAGGACAAGAACCAAACAGCAUUUUCCGAUAAAUCCCUGGAUAAACCAUAAAACUCAAACCAGAAAAACAGUAGCUAAUGUUUCAUUUUCGAGCCAGUGCUCUCAAAUGUAUUAUUUUCCAGUUCCUUUCAGCAUUUAAAAAGCAGCAAGCACUCUAUAGCUAUCCCUAAGAGUGCUUAGAAAUUCAAUAUGACAAUUGGACCAAAUCAAAGGCUUACGAUAACGUCUUCAGGACUUUCCAUGUUUUACUGUCAUCUGAAGAAUGAAGCUUCCAGAUGAUGAGCUCACCACCUACAUCAGUAGUAGUACUCUUAAAAUACAAAGAGACAUAAAUAAAAAGUGGAAAAGAAGAAAAUGCAGCAGAGGAAAGUUAAAUCAUUUGAUCUUAGGCUAAAUGGAGAGAUUUAUAGGACAAGUCUAUACCAUCUGCACCAGAGGCCAAAUGCUCUCCUGCAUAUUACAGAAAAUGGUAUUCAGUUUUUUGACUAACUAGAUAGUACAAGUAUAUUAUCUAACAGAUUAAUAAAUCAGACAGAGGCAUGCAUCAAAAGGUCAGUUAUAGUAAAAACUUAUGGUAACUACAAAAGUUGCUAAAAUGAAGUACCCACAGUCACACAGUUAGCAGAAACUUUAACUUUUUCAACAAAAUGAUCAAUCCAGAGAGGCAAGAUAGGCUUGUAAUAUGAAUUGACUUUGAAGUAAGUCAAAUAAAACUACAUUUGUUUCAUUCGUAGCAAGAGCAACCUUCUCUCUCUACACAGUCCAAGGUAAUUGAUGAUUUCGUGAACCUCAUCACAACUCAGUAUCCAACACGUCUGACUGCAAAAGAAGUUCCACACUCCACUCUGUAUUUCCAGUUCUCAAAUUAACGAGAUCUCAACUGGAUAUCCAGCAAAAAGAUUCUCACUACAGGAAUUUCUGAAUUUAUAGCAAAAAUUCCAGAAAAAUCAUCUAAUAAUAUCUAAUAGCUGAUAAUCUAACUUUCUAGUAUUAAUCUUCUAAGCACCACAGAGGUCACCUGGAUAAAAAUACAUUUUGCAGAAAUUAGUUCAAGAAUCUGGCUAACAAGCCAUCAGCUUGCUGAAAUUAAAGGAGAUGAAAACCUACAAGACUAAUUCAACGAUAGCAAUAUUUGAAAAAAAAAAAAGCUAAAAGAAAAAAGAAAGAACCAAGUUCACAGCCCAGUGCAGCUUAAGUAGAGUCAGCAGAUAACUAUAUCAAAUGCCGACCCUCUAGAAAACCAAUAUUACAUUUUGCCUCACUAAAGUAUACAGAAACAUAGAGAAGAAAGUCAGUCAUUCAAACACCAACAUACACAUAAAUUGCAUGAAACAACCUACAGCUUCAGAGGAAACUCCAACAACCCACAGAAGAUAACCAUGUAUGAAUUCUUGCCUCGUAAUAAUGCUUUAAUCAAUGUAAAAUUCAAAAAUAGAUACCACAACCUUUUAACAAAGCCAAUUACCUGAAGGAGAGAACCGAAGUGCAUUAACAGCAGAACUAUGGUAAGAAAGGCUAGUCUGGUAUGAAACUGAAGGCGCUUUCUUCUCAUUUUCCCCAGAAUCAAUCACCCACAUCUGUUGAAAAUUUUAUGAACCCAAUGAUGUCAUAUUCCAUUCCACAUAAAAAUGGUAUCAAUAAAGUAAAUAUGUUAGUGCUUUAUAUAUCAGCUAAUUAGAAACUAGUGGUUAAUACAUCAACAUGGUACAAGAAAUGUGUCCUUAAUACUCCUUGUGGUAUGAUUGAAGGUGCUAAUUGUGCCUUUAGGAAUUAAGGAACGUGGAAUGCAGUAUUGAUUUUUUGUGCUCAACACAAGCACAUUAGGAAACCAGGGGAUCAAAAUUAUGCUUCACUGGUGGACUUUCUUGACCAAGCUGGGUAACUACAAGAGGCAGUGAAAGUCGUUGAAUAAUGCCAAUGCAACAAAUUCAAUUAGCUUUGAAUUGAAGAAAAUAAAUUUUCAGCUUAUGUGGGUGAAAAGGCUUAUUAGUUAGGAUCUGUUAGCCCAGGCGUAGUGCGACUGCUUAUAAAUAUCACGAAGCUACCAAACCUAGGAAAAUGCUUACACACCAACAUGUUGAGGUAAAGAUAUUUCACAACUAAUACCAGACAGAGGAGAAGCCAGAUGUAGCAACCUCUGUGAGCAUUCAUCUGCUGUAACAACAGAAAGAUAGCUGGAGGCCUAUUCAUUCAGGAAGAGUGAAAUUUUUAUUCUUAUAGUUGUUGGAAAUUCGCACUAGCAUAACUGAUGGAAUUGUCACUCCUGUUACAUCAUUUCUUUCAACUUUUAGUAGCAUAAAGGUGGACCAACCUAAGAUAAGCACGGUGAAAAUAGUAAGGUCUGUUGCUGUCAUUCUUUUAGUUGGAUUAUUUUGUCUGCAUUGGACAAUAAACAGAUUUGGUUGGACGUUUGCAUUAGUUGUGAUGUUCCUUUUAAUAGGAGUUAUCCUGCAGCUGCAAAUAAAAAAGUCGUUAAAAGGAGCAUAUCCACACUGCGGUUAUUCAAUUAAGGCUGUGUUUUUAUUUAUGGUCUGUUGCUCCUCCUCUCAAUGGUUAUGAAUUAGUCAACAAAGUAAAGAGUUUUUCGAGCCAGUGCAAGGGAUCAUAAACUCCCUGAAGAGAAACAUUGUAGUUGCUUGGUUAACUGGAUGAGUACAUCUGGGCAGUUAGAUAUUACUCUAAAAUUCAUGAACAAGUUUUCUAAUUAGACUAAUGUGGGCAUUCAUCGAAAUGAUACUCAAUUGGUAAGAAUAUCACAUGCUAGGAAUAUUGCAUCAAAUGCCUAUCCCCAACUCUUGCAUGAUGCUGCAAAGAAGACGAUACCCUUGCUGACCUUUCAGAGCCAAUUUUUGCACUUUCAUUUUUCGAUAUUGUCUUUUUAACAUGGAUCAUUCUACACGACAUUAGAGAUGUGACGCACCAGAAGUAACUGACCAUGAUUAAUGAUGCAUGGCCUUGCCGCCUUGGAGAUGGUGUUUACUGUAUUUUCAUUUCCUUUGAACUUUAAAGGUUGUUGUAGCUCGAAUUUUACAAUAUCAUAAAUAUACUUUGACGGAUUGAGAAAAUCAAGAUAGAAACUGUAAACUAGUGAAUGAAAAUGCAAAAGAGAAUUCCGAUAUCUCAGAGGAACCAACUAAAAUAAUUACUAAAAGCAAAAUUCACCAUGCAAGAAAAAUCAAAGCAGAGACAAAAUUUAGAAGUACCAGAGGGAAAUGAAGAAGGGUAAAAUAGUAAUUUUAACCUUGAUGUCAUAGUCGGCGCCACCAGUAGCAAGAACGCCGGAGAGGUGGUGAAAAUCGAGGCACAAAACGGGCUUCGUGUCGUGCCAAUUGAUCUGAACUGUACCUCCCUUCAUUCUUUAUCUUCCUUCCCUGAUCUUUUUUCCACUCUUUUAUUUGAAUUUAUUGUUUUUUGGGAUUGAAGAAGGAGGUAGGGUUUAGAACUUAGAAGAGCAGCUGGACGGUGAGUGAUUUUGUGGGAUAACUUUGAGAUUUGGCGGGAAAUUGAGGGCGCCUUAAUUUCCCUUUUUUCUUUUCUAUUUUUAAUAAUUUUUCUCUCUCUUCUCUUUUUCUUAUUUCUAUCUGUUUGGUGGAUUGAUCCGAGCAGGUUUAUUUACAAAUCCCCUACUUUGGACUUGAAUCAUGAUAUAUAAAUUUAUUCUCAAAAUAUGGAUAAGGUUUGCGUGGUCCCACUUCGUACUUCAUUUAUUCCGUACUCAACUUUGAAUCCAAGUUUUUGUAUCUGGUAAGACGGAGUACAAUAAUCCCACUACGCACUUCAUUAACUCCAUACUCACAACUUUAAAUCCAAGUUUUUGUAACCCGUAAGACAAAAGUACAAGAAAAUAUCGUUUAAGAAUUACCACGGGUGACUUCAGAAAAUGUUAUACUAAAAUAGGAAUGCUGCAAUUGCAUUUCUUUACUUUCUGUUUUUGUUUUUCUAAAUAUAGUAGUAGUCUAGUAUUUAGUACUAAGAAAACCACAUAAUUAGUAUGAAACAAAAAUGCAUUUUCUCGUAUCUUAUACCCCACCAGUCUGCCUGCUUUAAUCUUAAGUGGGUUAAAUUUCAGUUUCCCAUCUUUGGAAAUAUCAUAAAACAAGUUUAAAGUGAUAUCCUCAACGUUGAAAAAAAAUCCCCUUGACAGAGAGAGCAGUAACGCUUGCCAUGAUUGGUUUGCAGGUGAGAAAUAUGAUCAAACUGCUGAGCAAACGUCUAUUUUAUAACUUCGAAUAAAACUCCUACAUGUAUGGACGACAUGAACCAUUUUUACAUGUUCAGCAAUACAUGAAGCAAUCCUCAAACUCAAUCUACUACUUCUACGAACGUUCUCCAAAUCGUUUCGUCAAACAUUAUGAACAGAAAACAGAAUGGAAUAGAUGGAGGUAAGGAAUAAAAACAUAAAAGGAAGGGGAAAAAAAACAGAAGAAACCCGAGAAAAGAGCAUUCCCAUAUCAUGAAGCUUAAAACCAAUCAAGGGAAUGAGAAACAUAAGAUGGAGGCAAACUAAAGAAUACACAACUCUAACCGCGCCUACAAAAUAUUUGGGAGCUGAGCAUCCAAUCUUUGUUGCAGCUCCUUGACCUUGAUUGAUAACUCAGCAGUUUGCUCCUUGUAGCUCCUGAUCAGAUAAUCCUUCCCUUCAAUCACUUCUUUUAACUCAUCUUUUUCGCGCUUCAGCAUUUCGAACCUUUCCCCAUCUCCUCUUCCCUUAUCUGAGGUAUCCGAAUUUCUAUCAAUUUCCAGGUGACCAUUUGUGUGACCGUUCAUAUGACCAUAUCGGACUUCAGCUGGCCAUACAGGUACUGUUGGGGACUUAUCGCAAGAACCCACUUGUCCAACGCAAUGAUCUGCAAUUGCCUUCCUCAACCUCUGUAUCUCUCUCUCUNNNNNNNNNNNNNNNNNNNNNNNNNNNNNNNNNNNNNNNNNNNNNNNNNNNNNNNNNNNNNNNNCAAGACGGUCAGGAGAGCUUGACCACGGCCCACCAUUCUCUUUAUUGAAUUCGAGGGCAGGAACAGUCACAAGAGGGAGCACCAUUUCAGGCUCAGACCCAUUAAAUUGCUGCUGCUUUAUAACCCCCAAUCCUCCAGCUCCUGUCUUGUAAAAAUAGCAAAUGUUCAUUAACUGCACUAGUUAUUUGGUAAAUCUCCUGUUUUUGUAGAAAACUCAGCAUAGAAGAUAAAAACUGAUCCUAAGUGGUAGCUAGCGCAACAUGUAUACCAAGAAAAGCAUCAUAUUGAUCACAUGAAUUCUCCUUCAUUAUGUUUCAAUCUUUCACUUGACAUCACCAUAACCCUCUUAAAGCAAGUAAGAUAACUGUAAAUAAGUCUAAUUUGUCAAGAAGACCGUGUCUAAUUUUUCAAGUUAGAAGGCAACCACAAAAUCAACAUUAACAUGCAUAAGUUGUUUACAAAUGAUAGUUUCGAUGCAUACAACUAUAAUUAACUUUACUAGUUCAAAUUAUUUUCUCACAAAAUCGGGAGUUUAAAAACUGAACAGGAUCAUUGGAAGAAGAUGAUGCCAAUAUCAAAUCACUAGCCAUGUUUUUUACUCCAAAAAGAACAACGUAAAUUCUAAAAACUCCAAAAGGAUGGCAAGAGUUUACGUACCUGUAUUGCAAUUGUAGCAGCCAUCAUCAUCUUGGGCAAAAUAAUAAGUACUUGACUGCAAAUGACCAUUUCCUAACUUCCUUCCUUCAGGAGAUUUUUCGUUUCCUGCAUUUUAAGCCGCUUCUCAUAUCUAAGAGGGCAGAAUAAUUUCACAAGACAAACCAAAAUGCUUUAAACAAUAUUGGACCUUUUAAACUGCUGGUGGUCUUGUUCUGUUGUCUCGAGUCAAGCACCUGCUUCAGCUUGUAGCCUAAGCGAACAGAUAAUGUACUUAAUAAUGCACUGCCUGCAAUUAUGACCCAGUUUGGCCCCUCACUCUGAACACCUUUGGACCUCUGGGACCUUGGCCCCACAUUGGUUCUUGGUUUCAUUUUCGGAAUCACUGAAAUGGAAGAUGGAGAAGCUGCAGACCAUCAAAGUAAGCCUAUAUAUGAAAUGCAGUAUAACGUCAAUUUAUGCCACGAGAAGCACAGUUUUCUGAUCACUCAAAUCAAGUGCAUAUAGGCUAAUUGAAAAGUAUUAACAAUAUAUAACCACAAGAAUUUUGCAGGUAAACAAGUCUAACACAGAUAUUUGAUAGGGAAAAAUAUCCAGAAAAUCCAAAGGUAAGCUGUCAAGAUAAAGUCGCCUGGUAUCUGUUGAACUCUGAUUAUCGCCAACAUGAGGGGAUUUCCAGAGUCAUGUUUAUUUAUAAUAUUGCAAACACUUUAGUUAUUAAAAGGCAGAAAAGCAAAGUCUACAAUGGCAAAACUAUGUGGAGCUCGAUCAGACUUUGAGCGAAGGGUAGGGCUUUUUCCCUUUGAUAAAGAACAAGUUAUUUGAAGGAGGAAGCAAUUUUCUAUAAAACGUAUAAGUCGACAUAUAAAAUUAAAUUGUUCUUGCUAGUGUGGUUCACAUUUGCACUUUAUUUCCUUUUUUUCUAAAAGAUACCAGAAGAAUAAGUACCAGAGUGUAGAACAAGCAACAAGAUUCCCAGAAGAAUAAGUGCCGGAGUGUAGAACAAGCAACAAAUUCCCAGUUCCCAAAAGGAAAGGUAACUGCAAUCAUGCAAUUCUAAUAGCAUAAAUACCUUCACAUCAAGUGCUGGUGCCACACUUUCAUGAAUCUGACUAUAGUAGACGGUACAAUGACAGUAGGACCUCAGGAAAUAUUCUGAAAGAAAAUGCAACGAAAAUCACAGCACUUAUUAUCCAGAAGAAACAGAAUAAUAAGGAAAGAAGUAGUUAACUAGAGUACAAACAGAAUUAGCUCCUGUAAACAUCCACUGACAUUGCAAUUACAGUAACCUGUUGCAUGCUUGCUCGUGUAAAUAAGUUGUAUGUGUGGAACACGCUGCUCAAUAUUUAGCACUCAGAAUCUUAAAAUCUUACAUUCACUUGGUUCAUUGAAAAUUGGUAUACAGCAUGAAUCAAUAGUUCACGUUGGGGUCAUUUGGUACGCGGGAUAAGGUGUGGGAUUAAAUUAUACCAUGUUCGGUUGACGGUGGAUAAAUUUAUACCGUCAACCGAACAUGGUAUAAAUUUAAUCCCAGUAUUAAUACAAGAUAUCUCACCUUAUCCCACGGUAUCCCAUCAAACUUGGGAUUAUAUUAUCCCACCCCCAGGUGGGAUAAAUUAGUCCCGGGAUUAUAAUCACAGGAUUAUAAUUCCGGGAUAAUUUUGUCCGCGUACCAAACGACCCCUAAAGGCUCGUUUGGUACGAGGGAUAAGGGAUAAUUAGUCCCUGGAUUAAAUUUGAGAUGAGUUUAUUCCCGCGUUUGGUUGGGAUAAAAUCGCGGUAUAACUAAUCCCGGGAUUGUAGUGUUAUUUUUUAUCCCUAUGGGAGGGUGUGAUAACAAUCCCGGGAUAAUUAAUCUUGGGAUAACUUGUUUCCCAACCAAACGACCCCUAAAAGUUUCUAUGGGUAAAGCAAAGAAGGCAGAAAACAAGAACUAAAGAGAAGGUUGAUGUGUUGUAGAAGAGUAGAAGCUGUAGGCCACUUCCAACCUCUUGGUGGUGGAUUGGGAUGUCCAUCAUUAAUUGAACAUUUUGAAAAAUAAGUAACACAGGAAAGGAAUUCAAUUCAAGAAAAUAAUUUUUUAAGGCGGGAGAAGUAAGCUGGUUAUGGAGAAAGCCACCCAAGGAAAAAGGGCGACUAUUAUUCAUCAAAAAAAAAUCCGAAGAGAAGAGAGAAAGAUUUAUUUAAAAUCAGCAGAGGAGGUGUAAAAUUCCAUGGUGUCUUUCUUCCCCUGGGAACGUUGAAGGCACACUUUCACUCUCCUGUUUACCCAGUGAACUGACAGAAAGAGUCCUAGUUCUAAUGUCAUUAUUGCACCCGAUGAAGUAAAAUCUCAGACUUGGAUCCUUUCACUUAAAAUGGCUAAUUAAUACUAAGACAAUUGUAAUGGACAAGAACUAAAUAUUUUGUUUUAAGGCAGAGUAAUAUUCCAACCUUGAAUAACACAGCAAUGUAUAAGUCACACAAUAUACAUACACUCACAGACAAUAUAGGAUAGAAGAUCUGAAGUGAAAAUGUGAAAUGGACAACAUAAUUCCCGAGUCACCUUUUCCAUGUAAAAGAAGCAGUAAGUCUAUCAGAGCCAUCAAAUGAAUGUAAAGACUAGAAGAUUAUAGCAGAUUCAGAAUGGCACCGAUAUAAGGAAAUUGUCAAUGUAUCAAAGUCUUCUUUGGUCAGAUGAGGAAAGCUAAGAUCUUAAUGAGGCAAAUUCGUAAAGGUGACAAGAAAAAGAGUGAAAGAAAUGCCAGCUUUUCUGCAUGAGGGCACGGCAAAUGAUAAGUUUGACAUCAUUUACGUUUGAAUUUGAUGACUAACCUAACCCUGUAAUGCAAUUAUCCAUUUACUUGUCCUCCAUCACAUGAUAGCCUGCUAACUCAUACUCUUAAACAUGAUCCAGAACUGCCAGAAAACCAGAUAAAUGCACAACAAGCAGUUUUCAACAGCCCAUGGCUGAGCGUUAAAAGUAUUAAGGUAGCCACUAAAAAGAUAACUUAGAAGUUGCUUUCUAGCCUAAUGAGGACCAGGUUAAAUACUGGAUGAUGGUUUGACAUACAAAAGUUUUAACAAGCAACACGCUAAACACCAAAAACAAGCACCAUUUUCACAUGGCUGAAUAUCGAUUCCUGCUUGUGAGAUAAAUUGUAACUCUUUCAAAUAAAAUAGAAGUCAACCUCGAAUAUAUAAGACGUAAAGUAUGACAUCCGCCAGCAUGUUACCAGCAUACGCUGCCUAUUAUAACUAAUUGAAAUUGACAUAUGCCCUUCACUUGAGGCAGCAAAUAAGACAUUAGACAUGCAUGACCAUCUCUUUUGAAUUUCCUCCUUCCAAAUAAUUUUGACCUCAUUGGUCAUGUAGGAUAUCAAAUGGCUCAUUGAGGUAUAGGUGCAUUCAGAAUCACAAUUCAAUUAUCCACCAACUCUAGCUAUCUUUGACUUCCCAUAAUACAACAAAACGAAACCCGCAGAACUUCUAUUUUCACAAAAACAGAUCUGUCAUACAAACCCACAGAUUCAAUCACCAAAAAUGGCCAGAACGGCGUAAACAGCUAAUAGGUGGAGACAGGGAUAAAUACAAUUUCUCCCUUGUUACGUUCCCUUGUUUUUACUUACAUGAUCAAACACAAAAAUAUGCAUUGAAAUGAAUAAACGCCAGUACAAAGACACAACAUCAACAAUAACUGCUGCGCUCAGCCCCAAACAAAUUCGGGGCAGCUAUAUUACUCCAUUUAAAUUCAUCUCAUUAUGCAAAUACAAAUAAAAGUAUUAGAAGAAAAUUUCUCGUUAAGCUAAUCUAGACUGCUAAAUGCACAUAAAACACACAAGCACACAAAAAAAAACAUCUAUUUUGCACACACUUAACAGGUCAUAGCAAAUUUAAGAUGAAACUAUCCAUAGAAAAUUAGAAAUGCAAGACCCAAGUAUCAAAAAAACACAACAAACAAAGAAAAGACAAAAAAUACAAAACCCAAAUGCCACCAAACACACAAAGACACAAACCGACACAAACCCACUAAUUUCUACACAUUACAGAGACCAUAGCCAAUGUAAGAUGAAAUUCCCCAAAAUGAAAAGGGCAUAUCAAAUAGUACCUGAUUAAUGUGGAAGAUGCAUCUAUUUGACCAAGAACUGAUAAAUAAAAGAAGUUUCUGGCGUAGGGUUUUGUGGAAUUAACAAACACUAAUAUUACUGAACCUUCUAAUACAGGCGAGACUGGCUUAGGUGAGUGGGGGCGUGGCCAAAAAGAACCAGCUAAAGCAAAAGCGGGAUUUUGCCCCUUUGGUUAUGGGAGGGGUGGGGUGGGGAUUUUGCCUGUGGAUCAAAAUUCAAGAAUUGGUGGAAUUUUCGGGGGAAAAGUACAAAAUAUUUUGCACGUCGUACAAGUAUCGGAUUCCACGUUGUCGUCUGACUAUGAAAAUAUGUGGACUACGAAAUCUGGGGCCGUUAGAACGGAACUAACGGACUCAGCGUUAGUGAUGCUUAUCUGUUUUCCUAAAAUUAUGAUAAAGCAAUAUUUUUACAUUUUUUUCCUUUUAUAUUUAUAAUAAAUCAAGACCAUCAAAGUAUGUGAUGGUAAUUGGGACGGAUAAGAUCAAUCUACCACUAUCCAAAAAUAUAUUCGAGCUUAAAAGUAAAAAAACUAUGUCUAGGAAUGGAGAAAUUUCAGUAACGUUUUCCUUAAACAAAUCUCACAUCCUAUACCAUACUCGCCACGAAUAUAAAUUAAUCGAUCAAAAAGUUUCGUAUAACUGAUUGUUAUAAAAAAAGAAGAAUUUUAUUUAGUUGAAAUUUUAUAAAUCAAAUCAAAAAAGUGAAAUACUUUUAAAACUGUAUGCAAAGUAACAAAGAAACAAUGGGGCUACAAUACAAUAUGAAAAAGGAGUGGAGUGUAUUGAGAGACCAAUUUAAGCUUUCAUUGAUAAUGAAAAUCUGGGGACAAUUUGAAAUUAACAUUACAAAACCCAAUGAAUAGGAAGUUGAUAUAACAUGUUAGCCUUUUAUUAACAAGCUAAAACAGCACAGAAUAAUAAUACUUUAUGUUGUACAGUAGAUUUUAAUAGCACAUUAAAUGAGAGGCGUUAGAAACUAUGUGCAUCUUGAAAAAGUGCUGCUCUUUUUUGCUCCCAUAAGUAGAUUCAAAACCUUUGAGAAAUAUGAAAUUGGAUAGUUCAAAAUUUUAAACUAAAACUUUACAUAUUUAGAAGCUUUACGAAAUUGUUCUCUCGUAAUUUUAAGUUCGACAUAGAUAAAAAAAAAAAACGAACGAGCAAUAGUUUGAUGAGUUAAGUACUAGUACACUUUAAAAAGAUGUCUCAAUGCAAUAACAAAUGAAAGAAAUAAAAAAGGAAAAGGAAGUAAAAAGAAAAGAAAAGAAAAACAACAACAACAACAUACCCAGUAUUAUCCCACAUCGUGAGGUCUGAAGAGGGUAGUGUGUACGCAGACCUUACCCCUACCUUAUGAGGAUACAAAGGUUGUUUCCAAUAGAUUCUCAGCUCAGGAAAACAUAAGCUAAAGAAAAGAAAAAGUAAAGUAAAAUUACUUCUUUUUUUUUUGUACAGAAGCAAGAAAAUGGUAGAAUUGAAGAAAAAGAAGAAAGAGCAAAGGCUUGGGGAAGUACAUAAACAACUACUCUUAAGGUUGCUAUUAAGGAAUUAGCUAGUACUAAUUUUGUCCUGAAAAUUUGAAUUAAAAUCAACAAUCCAAGAUAUUUUUGUCUCGAAAAAUUAAAUUAAAAAUCUAAAAUUCAGGGCAUUAUGACUAAUUUCUAAAUAGAUGUCGUUUAGAGUGACCACCGGACGACAUUUCUACCAAAAGAUUUCGUUGCUUCUCUAGCUUCCUUAAAAAGCAUCCUUGUAAAAGUUUCAACUUUCAACUAGAAAGAAUAAAUGAAGUACCAAAGAGGACAUGCUAUACACAAUUUGCUGAUUUUAGAAGCUGUUAUUGGUCCCAACAAAAAGCCCCACUACACAUAACUCGUAAUUAUUAUAUUUGUUCUCUUGAUCUGGAACUAAGAAAUUAGACAAAGUAUUGUAGUAUUGUAAAGAAAAAUGAAGAAGAAGAAUUCUUUAUCUUUGGGGCGUGUGGUUGAAGAUAGAGUAAAGUUUUACUUAUCGGCCCAAGAAGGCUCUUCGUCUUCUUUUGAAUGUGGGUUUUUUUUCUUUCUUUUUUUCUUUUAAAUAUAUUUUCCCACUAUAUCAAAAUGGAGUUUCAUUAGUACAAUACAAGGGUAGAGCAUACUCUACAAAAGAUAAGGCAUGGGUGAUUAUACACUAGUUUACCAGUUUCCUAAUAAAAAAGUGUCUAGCUAACAAAAAAGGUGGCAUUGUCAUAUUUGGUUCUAAUGCUUGGCAUCUGUCUUUUAUCCGGAUGAAAAGGCCCCUUAGCUUCCCCGGGCAAUUGUUGGUUAGAGUAGAAGAGAGCAGCCUCUUGAGAUUUUGCAGCCAUUUUUACUAAGCAAUCUGCAAGUUGGUUUGCCUCCCUAUAACAGUGCGAAAUCUGGAUUUCAGAGUUGUUUAAAAUAUGUCCAAUCUUGUAUGUAAUCUGACUAAGCCUAUAUUUAGUUGUAUUCUCUUAACGAAGGAUAUCUACAAUGUAUAGAGAGUUCAGAUAUAGGGUGACUAUCGUAAAGCCAUUUUGAACACACCAGUAGAUACCAAUCCACGAUGUAUAUACUUCUGCUAAAUUGUGAUUCUCGCAUAUGUAGGGGAGUGAAAAAGCCAUAAUAGUGUCACCAUUCUCAUUUCUAAGUGAUCCACCUACUCCUGCCUUUCCUUCAACUUUGAGAUAGCUCCAAUCUGUAUUAAUCUUGACAUUGCCCAUGCAUGGUUUGAUCCAAUUAACCACGAUACAUUUCUGAGCAGGUUGUAAUCUUGUCAAUAUGUCACAGAAGGUGUUCCAAAGCACUUUGAAAUUGCAUUUAGGGUAAUGCCUAUUUGAUUGUUGCCUCCACACUCCCAAGAUAUUUGUUGGUUCAAUCUAUACAUGUUGAACUUUUUUUGAUCUCCAUACCUGCAAGCACAUACUUCCUUCUACAAAAACCAGCAUAUGACAAUAGGAGUAGUAUCAAGCACUAUCAUAUGUACAUCAUUGACAGCUUUAGUAAUACACCAAUUUUUCAAUAUAUAUCUAAUGGGGUGGGGAUGAUAGGUUAUACCAAGAGCAUUUUCAAUUAGAUUCCAAACAUAACUAGCAGCAUGUCCUUCUAUGAAUGCAUGAUGCAUGCUAUCAGUAGUAGAAGUUAGACAACAGUUACAUUUAGAAAUCAUUUGCUUCCCAAACUUGGUAAUCACCUAAUCAAAAGGUAACUUACCUUUCCGCAAUCUCCAAACCAAGAAAGACGUUUUGAAAGGGAUACUAAAAUACCAUACCUUGUUGAUGAAUUGCACUCUAGGACUAAACUUCCUUACCAGAUUCCAAGCACUCUAAUUAGAAUAUUUACCACUAUCAAAAAGAUCUCAGAAUUGAUUGCCAAUAUCUUGAUUGCCGAUGACAAUGGAACUGAUGAGAUGAACUAAGUGAUCUGGAAGGAUGUCCUUCAAUUUGCAAAUGUUUCACUGACCAUUAGUAAUGAACUCCCCAACCAAAGUCCCAGCACUCUUGGGAGUGUUAGGGACCAAGACUGCAAGAGGGCCCUUUAAGUACCAAUUAUCCCACCAAAAGCUACUAGACUCGGAGUUUACCUGCCAAAUCAUAUGUUUCUCUACAAUAUUCCUCACUUUGAUAACAUGACUCUAAGUAUGAGAGUUACCUGGAGCCAUUUUCUUAGAGGCUAAGUGGGCCCUCACACAAUAUUUGUUUUUGAUGUAUGUAGCCCAUAGAGAUAAUGCGGACCUUAUCCUCCACCAUCUUUUCAUGGCUAACGUGUCACUUAUAUCCUCCAAUUUCCUGAUGCCAAUUCCCCCCUCCUCAGUAGGAAGAGCAAGAUUAUUCCAAGAACUCCAAUUGUAUCGUUUAUGAUCAACAGAAUUGCCCCAAAAACAGUUAGCAAAAUGCGUUUCAAUUAAUUUAAAAAUACCUUUUAGGGAGGACAUAACAGACAAAGUAUGAAUAGGAACACAUUGAGGCACACUUUUAAUCAAGACAACCUUACCACCAUAAGAUAGAAACUUACCCUACCAACCAUUGAGCUUUUUAACAAUUUUGCUAACCAUGUUGUUAUAGUAUUUAAUUUUUUUCCUCCACACAUAAAGAAGGCACCCAAGAUAAUCAAGAGGAAAAUUUUUAUCUAUAAAACCAGAGCAAUUCCUAAUUUUAUUGAUUCUGAUAGCAGCAGUAUUAGUGGUUGUUAAGAAGAAACUUUUAUCCCUAUUUACUAAUUGACCAGAACUCCUCUCAUAUUAAGAGAUAGUUUUCAUGACAAGUUUAACAGAGGCAGAAUUAUCACUAUAAAAAAUAACUAUAUCAUCAGGAUAGGCUAAGUGGUUAAUCUUUGGGACAUUAGCAAGCAUGGAUAAGGAGAUGAAUUUAGGAUUCAUAUACAUAGAAUUAAGAGAUAUAGACAUGACUUCAGCUGCUAUAAUGAAUAAAGAAGGGGAAAGAGGAUCCCCUUGUUUGAGCCCUUGAAAGCAGGAAAAAAAAACCUUGCAUUGUACCAUUAACAAUGACAAAAUACUACACAUUAGAAAUAAGUUUGUGAAUCAUAUCAAUCCAAUUAUCAGAGAAAUCAAACUUCCUUAAAACACCAUAGAUGAAUUCCAAGACAUUCUAUUAUACGCUUUAGCCAUAUCAAGUUUAAUCACAACAUUACCACCUUUAUUAUUAUCAGCAAUAUGAUGAAUAAUUUUCUUAGUAAGCAAAACAUUUUCAGAAAUCAACCUAUCCUUAAUAAAUCCACUUUGAUUACGAGAGACUAAUUUGUACAGGAGAGUAUUCAAUCUUAUAGAGAUGAUUUUAGAAAUAAUUUUGCUAGAAAAGUUAGAAAGACUAAUAGGUCUAAAGUCAGAAAAUGUAGCAAGAUUAUCUACUUUAGGAAUUAAAACAAGACAUGUAUGACAGUAGAAUUUAGUCAAACCUUUUCCCCUUAAGAAUUCCAUCACAAAAGCAGUUAACUCCUUAUAGAUGAUGUCCCAUCAAUUUUGAAAAAAUGCACCAUUGAAAUCAUCUGGACCUGCAGUACUAUUUGCACUCAGGUUAAAGAUUGCUUCUUUGAUUUCUUUAUCAUCUGGCAUCCUACCUAGUGAUGUAUUGUCUUCUUCGGUGAUACAAAGUGUGAUACAAUCUAUAAUAGAAAGAUUAAUGACAGGAGGAGCAAGGUUGGAUAUGGAUUGGAAAUGACUGACAGCUUUUCUGGAUACUUUCUGAUCCCCCUUGAUCCAUUUACAAUUAAUAUUUUUGAUUCUGUUUAUCUGAUGUCUUCUCUUUUUUCCCUCCGAAUGGAGUGAAAAUAUUUGGUAUUAUUAUCCCCCUCUUCAAACCACUUGGCCUAUGAUUUUUGUUUGAGCAAAGAGUCUUGCAGACUUAGCCAUCUGAUAUACUUAGCAUGAGCUUUUUGGACAUCCUUUCUACGUUUUUCAUAAUUCUUCUCAAUAUCACUGUCCUCCUGAUAUUGGAGUCUAUCUUCCUAACUAAUGACUGCUCCAUUAAUAUCCCCCUGAUCAUUCCUGGACCAUUGACUCAAUCUCUUACUGAGAGCCUUGAGCUUGGAUUGAAGGAUCCAUAUAGGGUUGGCCAUCACAUUCAUACCCCAAACUUUCUUGACAAUGUCAAAUAAACCUUCGUGGUUCACCCAACAGUUAAGAAAUCUGAAGUAUUUGAUAAAAUGCUAGUUGCCAUUCAGAUUUUUCAUGAGUAGAGGUCUAUGAUCAGAACCAGUUAUAGCUAGGUGUCUAAUAGAGCAUCUUUGAGAAAGUUGAUCUCACAAGUCAUUAACUAAAAAUCUGUCAAGCCUUUUCCAAAUUCGUUUGCUUAGCCUUCUGUUAUUGUACCAAGUAUAGUUAGGACCACUAUACUCAAUAUCGGUAACCCUACAAUUGUUCAUACAAGUUUGAAAUCCAAGCUCAUAUGCAUUAUGUGUCGCUUGCCCCCUAGUUUUUCAUUAGUAUCCAAGAUAACAUUAAAAUCACCCCCAAUGCACCAAGGGAUAUCCACAUUUUGAUUGUCUUGUUCAAGAGCACACCAUAGGUCCUUUCUAGUAUGAGACUUGCAUUUGGCAUAUACUGCAGUAAUGCAGAUGUCUUGAUUACCAAUAACUUUAUACAUCAUGAUAGUAAUAUGUUAUCACUGUCAGUAAUAAUCUCUGUGGAGUUGUAAGCAUUCCAAAAAUAUCAAAUUUAACCGUUGUUGUUGAAACAACAAUGCUGGUACCCAAGGAAUUUUUUGUAGCCAUCAACCUUUUCUGUAACGACCCGGCCGGUCAUUUUGAGUAUCACAACCUUGUUUUCCUAUUUACUGCUCAAAUUGGGUUUUACAGUUGUUGUGUGACUUGCCAGGGCAAUUGCUUCGGGUCCGGUGAGGUUUUGGAAUGAAUUGGAACACUUAGUUCCAAGGUUUAAAGCUUAAGUUAAAAUAGUGACCGGAUGUCGACUUAUAUGUAAACGACCUCAGAAUUUAAUUCUAAUGAUUUCAAUAGCUCAGUAUGGUGAUUUUGGACUUAGGAGCAUGUCCGAAAAAUUAUUUGGAGGUCUGUAGUGGAAUUAGCCUUGAAAUGCCGAAAGUUGAAUUUUUGAAAAGUUUGACCGGGGGGUUGACUUUUUGUUAUCGAGGUCGGAAUCCGAUUCUNNNNNNNNNNNNNNNNNNNNNNNNNGAAAAUCCAUAGGCUUGAAUUGAGGUGCAAUUCAUAGUUUUAGCUUUGUUUGAUGUAAUUCGAGGCUUCGACUAAGUUCGUAUGAUGUUUUAGGACUUGUUGGUAUAUUUGGUUGAGGUCCUGAGUGGCUCGGGUGAGUUUCGGGGUGGUUUCAGAUCAUUUCUAGGCCAUUUUUAGUUGAUGGUUUCUGCCUACAGAGGUGUGCAUCGCGAUCACGAACAUUUGGUCGCGUUCGCGAAGAGCAAACAACAGUUUGGAACCUUGUGAAUCGCGAUCGCGGAAGCUCUUUCGCGAUCGCGUAGAAUAAAAUCUCUGCUACACUGACUUGACUUUGAAAGCUUAUAUCUCGCAAUCUAUAAAGAAUUUGGAGAUGAUCCAAAAAUAAAAGUUGUAGCCCUUGGUGUCUAAUUUUCAGAACUGUAAACCAUUUGUCAUUUGGAGUUGUGUACAAAACGUUAUGAUAGAUAUACUAUAGACUGUCUGGGAAGAGUUUGAAAAAUCUCUAUUGCACAGGGCUGACUUUGGAAGCUUAUAUCUAGAAAUAUAUAAGGAAUUGGGAGAUGAGAAACAAAUGAAAGUUGUAGCCCUUGGUGUCUAGUUUUCAGAAAGUUAAACCAUUUAUAAUUUGGAGUUUUAUAAAAAGUAAUAACCAAUAUACUAUAGGCUGUCUGGAAGAGUUGAGAGAGUUUGUUCUUCGCGAUCGCGAAGAGCAAUUUUGGGGCUGAAAAAUGUUGUGCUUCGCGAUCGCGAAGAGUAAAUGCCUGGACAGAAGAUAUAUUUUGAGGUUUUGUCCAUUUUAACACAUUUGGAGCUAUGGAGCUCGGAUUGAAGCGAUUUUUGAGGCAAUUUUCACAGUAUGGAUUGGGGCAAGUGAUUCUAACUCGUUUUUGGUUAAAUUAUACGAAUCUAUUAUUGUGUUUAUCAACGGAUUAGUAUUUUGGGUUGAAAAUAGUAGAAAAAUUCAUAGACUUUAAUUGAGGAUUUGAAGGCCGAGUUGUGGUCGGAUUUGAGUAAUUUUGGUAUGGUUGGACUCGUCGUUGAAUGAGAGUUUGGAUUUUAUGAGUUUUAUCGGAUUUCGAGACGUGGGCCCCACGGGUAUUUUUGGGGCGUAAUUUUGGAUUUUUGGAAAAUAUUAGUAUUUUGAUAUGGGAUUAAUUUCUAUAAUUUUUGUGAGCUGAAUCAAAUUAGUUGUGACUAGAUUCGAGCCGUUUGGAAGUUGAUACGCGCAGAAUGGAAUUUCUGGAGUAUUUCUUAGCUUGCUCGAUAUUGAAUUUGGCUUGUUCGAGGUAAGUAACUCUUCUAAUCUUGGAGCUGAGAGUAUGAACCCUGAAUAUAUGUAUUAUGUGAAUUGUUGGAAGGUGGCACACAUGCUAGGUGACGGGCGCGUGGGCGUGCACUAUAGAAAUUGUGACAUAAUUGUUUAUGUGAAAUUUUGUAGUUAAAUGAUCUUGGCAUUUUUCAUGCGGUUUUAUGAGUUAAAGAUAUUGAGUUGAAAAGCAUAUUAAAAAUCAUGUUGAGGCUAUGUGCUAGUAUUAUUGAGACCCACAGAGGUCAUAUUGCUGUGAAUUAUUUAUUUUAAAUUGAAAAUCCAUACCCAGUCAUUUCAUUGCAUAUCAUAUCUCAGUCUCUGUUGUUAUUUAUUGAUACAUCAUAUCAUCAUUUUUGGGCUAUUUUCAUGACAUUGUGAGCCCGAGAGACUGGAGAGAUUGAUGACUGAGUGAGGCCGAGGGCCUGAUUGUGAGGAUUAUUAUGUGGAUCAGGGCUGCCCGCCUACAGUAUGCUUUAUAUACUUUAUUAUUAUAGCACAUGAGUUGUCCGUGCAGAUUAUAGCGCUUGGGCUGAAGGAGCCCCUCCAGAGUCUGUACACAUCCCCAGUGAACGCAGAUACCUACUGAGUGCGAGUGUCGAGUGCCAAGUUCUGAGUGACUGGGAGGCAUGAGAGAUGGUGAGGCAUGCCCGAUGGGCUGUUUACGAGUGAUUGUGAGGUAUGCCCGAUGGGCUGUUUACGAGUUAUUGUGAGGUAAUCCCGAGGGGCUGUUUAUGAUUUUAUCACUAAGUUGCAUCGCAUUGGUAUGCACACAUGACAUACAGGCAUAGAGAUGUAUUUUUCUCAUGCUGUACAACAUCACAUCAUUCAUAAUUUCUCACACAUUUUUGACAGAUGGGCAUAGUGAUGCAUUUGUUUUACAUGGGUUAUCUGAAAAAGAAAAUGAAACAUCUCAUUUAUUAUUGAAAAGAUUUUUGGGAGAAAUUAUUAUUUUCAAACUUAUUCAUAUUUUGACAACUUCGGCAAACGAUUUGGGUUAUCACUGAUAUAUUUGAAAGGAACUAUUAUUUUUUUAAAAUCAUGAUUUGGCUGAGCAUUUUAUCUCUGAGUUAUUUCUGGUAUUAUUUGCUUUAUAUUAUUAUGGACUGUUGUGGACUAGUGGUUUUGGAUCCGACCUUGGUAGAAGCUCGUCACUACUUUCAACCUAAGGCUAGGUUGCUACUUACUUAGUACAUGGGGUCGGUUGUACUGAUACUACACUUCUGCACAUUGCGUGCAUAUGUUGGCUGCUGUUGUUGCUGUGCUAGAUGGUUGCGGGAUUUGAAGAUGUACUUGGGUUCCUGUUGUAGCUGCCUCUUGUUCAGGGUAGCAUUAGAUUUAUAAAAGCUCUGUUUAUAUAUUAUUCAAACAGACUAUGUAUUUAUUUCAUUUAUGCUUUGUAUACUCUAUUCUUAGAAGCACAUGAUUUGUACUACCAGUUCUUGGGGAAUGUAUAAGAUUAAGAUCUUUAUUUAAUUAAAUUGCUUUAAUAAUUAUUAUUGGAAUUGGAUAAUUGAAAGUUGGCUUACCUAGCGGGUUGGUUAGGUGCCAUCACGACUAGUUGGAUUUUAGGUCGUGACAUUUUUCUUAGCACAAAAAGGUUCAAAGAUAGCCACAAAUUGAGUAUUGUUUAGGUCGAUCAAUUUCUUCAGCCCAUGAAUGGCUUUUUUGGAUCUAACCCCCCUAAUAUUCCAGAAAAUAGCACUAAAUUAUCAGAACAUCUUGGGGUGAAAUCCUCCUUUUGACUCCUUCUUAGAGAAGGUUGAGUUUUGUUUCUGUGUCUUCUACCACUUUCCCUGGUUUCGCUUCUUCCUCUUUUUGUCAUAUGUUGUUGUUCCUCAUUUUGAUUUUGAGAGUCAGUCUCCUCAUACCUCACCUAAUUUCACUGUGAGUAUGUUCAACCAUUUGAAUAUUGUUACCGUUCUCUUCCACCAGGCUAGUGUUGUCUCUAUUCUCCUUGCUCCAAUACAGAUCCACAACUAGUUGCAAUCCAGGCUGAUUCCUUCUUUCAGUAGGAACAGUCGAGGAGCUUGAGUCACAUCAAUAUUGUUCUUGAUCUUCUUUUCUAUGAUCUUGCCUUCCUGGCAUGUAAUCUCUCGGGAGUUGAGUUGGUCUGGAUGCUGCUUGGUUACAUUAGAAGUCUCUUCAUUGGUUAUGCUAUCUUCAUUAUUGAAUUCAAACCCAUUGCUUUGAUCAAGUUGUUGUUCUCUGCCAUUAUUAACUGGACUAAGAAAACUUUCCUCUAUAACAUGCACAAAAUGUUCAUUCUGCUUGAAAAUAGAGGCAGUUGUUUCUUUUCUUUUGCUACUGCUUUGCACAGGUUUGAAAAUCACUGUGUUUUUCUUUUUUGGCAUCUUUUUAGUCUUCUAUUUCCUGCUCUUCUUCUUGCUAGCCUUCUUAUCAUUGAUGCUAACUGUUUUUGUAUCCUCCCUAAUCUCCUUAUAUUAGUUUUGAUCACUCUCCAAGCUUGGAGAAUUUUGUUUUUCCUUGUCCUUAGUAACAACAUGUAAUCUCAUUAUCCAAUUGUGUUUCCUUCUCUAACUCUGUUCUUUCACUUUCUUCCUUGAGUUGCUCCGGUUUUUUCUUUUUCAGAACCCUGUAAUUGAUCAUAUAAUGGCCUAUCUUUCUACAGUGCUUACAGUAUUUAGGAACCCCCUCGUACUCUAAUUUUUAUGUGUAACCCUUUAGUGGAGAUUCCUCAUAUUCUUGACCAACAAAAACACUAUGUGGCAGAGGUUUGAGCAGAUCUACUUCCACUCGAAUUUUGGCAAUGCUAGAUCUUGUUCUCCUAAUCGUAGCAACAUCUAGGGCUAGAGAAGUACCUACAGAGAUCAAUAGUUGCUUGAUGUAAUGCCAAUCAUGCAUGUGGAAGGGCAAGCCUGGUAGUAGCACCCAAGCCCGUGCAACUAGUAAAUCCUCCUAUGGUUUGAAAUUAGGAUACCAAUUGCACCCACAUCUGCAUUCCAUUGAUUUCAAGAACCCUUCGGAACCAAACUAUUUUCCAAUCCUCCUUAUUAAACAAAUCAAUAAAUACAUUGUGAUUAUCAAAAAUCUCCAAUUCUAACUGAUCCCUUAAGAGAAAUUAUUUCUUUGAAUCAAGACCUAAUUCGGUCAAUUUGGGGGCGAGGUCUUAGAAACCUUCCCACAAUAGUGUACUUACACGAUUCAUCCAUAAUUUCAUAGUAAUCCUAAGCUUUGAAAAUUACGGCAGGCAUACCGUUGUGGGUUGUCUGUCUUGCUAUCAUUUUCUCUUUCUCUUGACGGAAGGUAUUCGGAGAGGAACUUGACAGAGAUGUACUCAUGUUAGCAUAGGAAUUUACCUAGGAAAUUCUCAUUCAUGGUAGUAGUCUCGCCUUUAGGGUGAUUUUGGUCUUCCAAAUGCGCCGGACGGAGGCAUUCCGGCUGCUCAAUGGAGUAGAGUGUGGUCAGGACGCGCAACAGAAAGAUCCGUCAUAGAGACGUUGUAGAGAGAAAUUUUUUAAGCUAUUUUAGUUUAGUAAAUGUGGGUUCAAUUGAUGAUAAUAGUUGUAAUUAUAAACAAACUCAUAACUGAACCAAGAAAAUAUUCUUUAACCAAAUUAGCAAGUAUAACUACUGGUCGUUGGUAAUCCGACUCUCGGAUGGACCUAAUUAUCCUCAAAUUUGGAUGCAGAAAACUAACUUUAGCCGCCCUCUCUUAUGAACAAGUGUGUCUCUCGAUUGCCUCUGUACUAAGCUUAGGACGAGACCUAAUGGACCGACUAAUUAGCUAGCACCCCUUAUCGGUGGAUCGGGCCCAAAAAGUUAUUUUUUUCAACAAAAAACGUAUUACACAUUGAAAUUCAUAUCAUAGCUAGAGGGUAAGUAACACGGUAGAUUUUUGAGUUUUCGACAUUGAUUAUUGGUUGAACCACUAGAAUGAGAUGAAACUACCCUCAAACAGUGGCUGAAGCAGGAUUUUCACUAAUGGAAUUCAAAAAAUAAAACAAAACAAACACGCAAAAAAGCUAAGAGGAUUCAACACCUAAUAUAUAUAUAAAGUAAAAAAAUUUAACCUUAUAUAUACAUUGUAAUUUUGGGUCUCUUCUGUCCCUGAGCUCCGCCCUAGUGGUGGAAGUUCACAAUUCUUCACAUAUUAAAAAUUUGGUCUUUGUCAUAGCCACAAGCUUUUUCGAGAUAAGGUAUUGGGGGAAUUGUAAUCUAUGAAAAGUCCACAAUAAGCAAAGAAUCAUCCUACAUCAGUAAAAGGUUUACUACCCGCUGAUGCUCCCAAAUGGAUAAUGUUUUCACCUAAUCAUUGCAGAGGUUCGUUGUCUAUUCCAGUCAAAUACUUGGGAAUUUGACUAUUGACUAGAAAUCAAAGUCGUUAAUUCAUUUUGAGAUUAAUUUGGUGGUUCAGUUGUAAUUGCAUAUUGUCGAUAGCAAAUGUGAUGAAAAUGCAAUAUGAAGCACACUACAUACUGCAUAGUUCAAUGCUUCAAAAGGUCUCCUAUUUUCAGUCAAAAAUAAUUAUUUAUUGCAUCAUUUAGAAGUUUUACAAAUAUUAGCUAGAUGAACAUUGAUAGUACUGAAAUUUAUCCACUUCAAUAAUAAAAUUUAAAAGUAAUUUCUUAUCACAUUAAAAUAGUUUAUUUAUGUUCUACCGAAUGGUAUCCAUCUUAGGACAAGCGCUUAAUAGUUGCUUGAGUUGGAUGUUGAUACUCAUGAUCUUCAUUCUUCUUAUUUCCUAUUUCAUUACACAUUUUUUAUGGGUUCAAAUUCGCAUUCUAUCACAUUCUAUCUAAUUUAAGAAGUUUAAAAUUUAACAAUAUAUGAUCAAAAGCUAAAGGUUGAGAUGAACCUAUAGCCGCUGUACUGAAUACGUCCCUGAGUCUUUAGACAAAGUCAAUCGUUGUUUUGGGUUUUGCAUAGUUACUAAACUGUAGAAGAUCUUGUUGGGUUUGCCAACCUUCAAAAGAAACUUCUCGUAAUAGGCCAUUUUUAUAGCUUGGGCCAACAGAGGAAGGAAAUGUAGAAUUGACACCAAGUAGCCACUCUAAAGGGUUAUUGUAUAGAAAUUGGUCACUGCAUUUUGAAUAGGGUUGUAAAAUGGUUAAAACAAAAUAGCUAAUCACUUAUAUUAUCCACUAAAAUAUGGGUUGGAUAAUGAAUUUUUUAAAAACGGGUAAAAUAUGGAUAAGAAUCAUAUUAUCCAUUUAGAAAAUGGAUAACCCAUGAGUUUAACUUUUACAUUUGUAAAACUUCAAAUUUGGGGUUUCUCAAGUUUGGGAGACUAGGAAUUCUCCCAAAAGUGAUCAUAUUCAUGAAGCCAUGGAUAAUAUGGUUACCCAUAUUAUCCGUCGGUUAACUUAUUUUUUAUCCGUAUUAAAUAUGGGUCGGGUUGGAUAAUUUAUCCGUUUUUUCAUUACCCGUUUUCGAUCCGUCUCAUAUCCAAUUAGACUCGACCGUUUGCCACCCUUAGUCUUGAAUUUUAGUUUUUCAGUUCAAAUUUUUGAGACAAAAAUAUCCUAAAUUAUCCUGAAAUUUAAAUUUUUAAUUUAAAAUUUCAAAAUAAAAUAAGUACCGACUAAUUUUUAAAUAACAUUCCUGAUAAUAGUUAUUGUACACUUGCCCCAAAGGAAAUGCACAACUUGGGCCUUUCGGUCCAAAUCUCGUGCGCGUGAGUCCAACUCUUCUAUUUCCUUUUUACUAUUUCACUAGUUGGAUGACGAUUUAUUCACUGAAAAAAUGUUAACUUUUAAUCGACGAGAGACUCUUUCCUUUUGAAAUACUCCACUAUUUUCAAAAUGUAUAUGUAUGAUAAAGCAAUUUGUACUAGCAAUAUCUUGCUUAUUUGUUGCAAUGCAUUUCUUUAGGUCAUUUCGAAUGAACUUCUUAUAAUGCAUUUACAAUCACCUUAUUUUGAAAAGUAUUUUUCAAAAAGGUACAUUUGAUAAAAAAAAAAUACUUUUAACCAUCAAUUAGCGUUUGACCAAACUUUUAAAAGUAUUUCUAAGUAUAUUUUUAUCAAAUGUACUCAAAAAAAUACUUUUGGGAAGAAACUAUUUUUCUUACUUCUCAAAAACUAUUGUUGCUUCUACUUAAAAGUAUUUUUUUCCUACUAAAACUUGGGCAAAUACCUUAAUUCUGGAGGAAAAAUACUUUUAGCAAAGUUUACUCUCUCCGGUCCACUUUAAGUAAUUUUUUGGUUUUUUUACACAUAUUAAAGAAUUCAUCUUUUAGCAUUAAUUAACAAUAAAAUUGACCAUAUUAACUUUAAUUUGCUCAUUGAAAAUAUAACAAACUACUUAUAGCUAGACUCUUUACUCCGAUGACAACUUUGAAAAGAAGAAGUUAAUUAAUUUUUAAUAUUUAAAAAAAUCGAAUAUUAUGUGGACAUGAGGGAGUAAAUUUUAAUAUAGUAUGAUUCUCGUUCUUUUUUCUUUUUCCAAGGUUCCAUAUGCGAAAAACAAGUUUUGCCCAACAACAUGGUUGGUGAUGCUCGUUUCCAUGCAAGGACAAAUUAAAGUAGCUGCGUUUUUGAAAGUUGCAUGGUUUAAUGCCUAUUUAGAACAGUCACCAAUGCAUAUUUUGAAAUUACAGGCUCAUCAUUAUACAAUUGCUUGAUAUUUGUGAGUUUUGAUAAGAUAAAAGAUUACUCCCAAUUAUACACAUGCUAUGGGGGCUUCUCAUGAUAACUUGAAGGCUUGAAAAACUAAAAAAGUCAUAUUUUUAACCUUUCGAUAACGUUAAUGUUUGAAUCUAACUUACAAAUUAACCUCAAACAAUAGUGGUAAGACCAGAAUGACCACGUUAUAGUAAAACACUUUUGUCUAAUCGAAUUGAUAACAUGCCAUGAUUUGAUUGGCGUGAUUAAUUCAUAUAUAGGAAAUAGGAUAGCAAUUUUGGGAUUAGUAAUCCCACUAUUAAAAAGGUGUCAAAAAACGUCAAGAAAAAUCUACCGAAAUUGAUCGGAAUCGAACAAAAAACGAUCGAUUUUUGACUGUUUUCAAUUUGCCAAAAAAACAAUGAUCGGUAAUGGGGAGCGACCACAUACGGUCGAUAUUUCCGACCGAAUUCGGUCGGUAAUUGUUGAAAUUAAUUUUUAUUUAUUUUUAAAUUAGCGACCGACUUCGGUCUGAAUUUUAAUUAUUCAUUUUUUUAAAAUUGUUCAAUUCCGAUAGAAAUCGGUCGAUAUUAUUAAAAUAUUUAAAAUCUAAAAUAAAAAAUUUCGAUCGAAGUCGAUCGGUAUUAUUAAAAUAUUUAAUAUUUAAAAUAAAAAAUUCCGACCGAAGUCGGUCGGUAAAUUUAAAUUUCUGGAAAAUGAAAUGAACAUUUUCAAUCGACUUCGGUCGGUUUUCUGGGUAAGUUUUUAGCAGAAUACAAUUAUUUUUGGCAGACAUCGGUCGAAAUUUGUAUAUGUGUCAGACGUAGCAUUGUUUCUUUAUUGUGGGACCACUAUUUUCGACCGGUGGUGGUCGGUAUCUUUGUGAGAAAUAUUUUAUUUGACUUUUGCGACCAAUUUACCUAUUUUCCGACCGAUUUCGGUCGGUAUUCUGUGGACGGAUUUUGACAGUUUUCUAGUAGCUAGUGUCCUGGAAUUAAACAAUAAAAUGAUACAUUUGUUUAUCUUCAAAACUCUUCUCCUGAGCUAAUUAACAUUGAAAAUAAAAAUUUAUCCCACUUUAUUUAGUUUAAAUCAAACAAGUAUUUAUAUUAUACAUGCAGAUCCCAUUUUUAGUCUAAUAAACUAAACAUCUACCAAUAAAAAUAUACCUACUAAAUAAUCUUAUCAUGAUUAAUCCUAAUAUUAUAAUUCCAUUUAUUAUUAAUCCCAGAAUAUAGAAUACCAAAGGUUAUGAUGGAGUGAUACUUAUUCAUUCAUUCUUAACGAGAGAUCUAAGAUUCAAGUCGUAUUUGUUAAGGAACACUUUAUUCUCUAAACGUGGAACUUUCUGAUGUGAACCCGAAUUUGAGUCGGACUCCAAAGUUAAUAUAGAUACUAAUGAGAAACUACAAAGAAUCCCAAAUAUUGUUCACCAACCAAACGAGCCGUGAGAUGGGAGCAUAAUUAUACUUUUGUUUGGAAACCAGAAAUUGGUGUUCAUGAGAGGAAGAAAAACUAAAAAAUUAGUAGAUAAAGAAGCUAAGUGAAAAAGAAACAGUUUACCUUCUAUAUAUUGUUUUAGUUUGGAAAGAAAAAAAAACAUUUUUCAUUGUUGGAGUGUCAAAGGAACUGAAUUUUAGUGGACACGUAAAUAAAUUAAACUAAAAUGAAAAGAUUUAUGUAGACGAGAUAUCAUAAACUCUCAAUUCUCUAGAUUUUCUUGCAUGCGUUCAGUAGGGUGGAUUUAAUGAUUCAACAAUUAUCCUUUAAUACAUAUCUCUUAUAUAUUAUCAUUCUUUUUUCUCAAAAAAAGAAAAAGAAAAAGAGAGACGAUUAGCCGUGGAAAAAUCUUCCCACUUUUUGCUUUCAUCAUUUCCUUCCUUUUUCCAACUUACUCCAAUUGGUUUGAUAAACGAAAAAACACACAGUACUCUCAAAAGAACAAAUUCUAUCAUCAUGACUAUUGCCCUUUGAUUUUACUUGUAUAUAUUGAUAGGGUUAAAAUAUGCACUUAAAUCUAUUAUAAUAAAAAAUCAAUUUUAUUUUUAAGGUUACUAAUAUUAAUAUUAUUUAUUGUGAAUAAUUAAUUUCAGUUUUUUUCCCGAUACUAAUCUUACUUUUUAUAAAUAAUUAUUUAUAAUUAAUUUUUAACUGAUCUAAUUAUGUAAAAGUUUUUUCGACACUUAUUAACACUUUCAAGUUUCAAGGUAUAGAAGGUAAAUUCUAAAGAAAAAAGAGUAAACAAGGGCAACAUCCAAAUACUCAUUUCUUUAAAUCUACACAGACAAGACCACCCAAACAGAAAAUUAAAAAUAGGAAAGUUUACAAUUCACAAUAUCACGUGAAAGAAGCAAGAAGUCCCAUGAAAAAAAAAUAGUAAAAAAAGAAAGAUAAAAUAUAUCACCAACCAAGAGCAUCAAGAAUACCUAAAACAACAUCACAAAUAUGCUUAAAUCCAUC
rnacentral:lncRNA from 1 species